CCUACGGGCGGCAGCAGUGGGGAAUAUUGCACAAUGGGGGAAACCCUGAUGCAGCGACGCCGCGUGAGUGAAGAAGUAAUUCGUUACGUAAAGCUCUAUCAGCAGGGAAGAAACACUGACCUUACGGUCAGCAGACGGUACCUGAGUAAGAAGCCCAGGAUAACUACGUGCCAGCAGCCGCGGUAAUACGUAGGGGGCAAGCGUUAUCCGGAUUUACUGGGUGGUAAGGGAGCGUAGACGGUGCGCCAAGGCUGGAGUGAAAUGCCGCAGAUUAACUGCGGAACUGCUGUGGAAACUGGCGAACUAGAGUGCGGGAGGGGUAAGCGGAAUUCCUAGUGUAGCGGUGAAAUGCGUAGAUAUUAGGAGGAACACCGGUGGCGAAGGCGGCUUACUGGACCGUAACUGACGUUGAGGCUCGAAAGCGUGGGGAGCAAACAGGAUUAGAUACCCUGGUAGUC
rnacentral:rRNA from 1 species